rnacentral:rRNA from 1 species
UGCAUAUCAAAUAAGCGGAGGAAAAGAAACCAAACUGGGAUUACCUUAGUAACGGCGAGUGAAGCGGUAAAAGCUCAAAUUUGAAAUCUGGUACUUUCAGUGCCCGAGUUGUAAUUUGUAGAAUUUGUCUUUGAUUAGGUCCUUGUCUAUGUUCCUUGGAACAGGACGUCAUAGAGGGUGAGAAUCCCGUUUGGCGAGGAUACCUUUUCUCUGUAAGACUUUUUCGAAGAGUCGAGUUGUUUGGGAAUGCAGCUCAAAGUGGGUGGUAAAUUCCAUCUAAAGCUAAAUAUUGGCGAGAGACCGAUAGCGAACAAGUACAGUGAUGGAAAGAUGAAAAGAACUUUGAAAAGAGAGUGAAAAAGUACGUGAAAUUGUUGAAAGGGAAGGGCAUUUGAUCAGACAUGGUGUUUUUUGCAUGCACUCGCCUCUCGUGGGCUUGGGCCUCUCAAAAAUUUCACUGGGCCAACAUCAAUUCUGGCAGCAGGAUAAAUCAUUAAGAAUGUAGCUACUUCGGUAGUGUUAUAGCUUUUUGGAAUACUGUUAGCCGGGAUUGAGG